rnacentral:rRNA from 1 species
UACGGGGGGAGCAAGCGUUGUUCGGAUUUACUGGGCGUAAAGGGCGCGUAGGCGGCCACCGCAAGUCGACUGUGAAAUCUCCGGGCUUAACCCGGAAAGGUCAGCCGAUACUGCGGGGCUAGAGUGCAGAAGGGGCAACUGGAAUUCUCGGUGUAGCGGUGAAAUGCGUAGAUAUCGAGAGGAACACCUGCGGCGAAGGCGGCUUUCUGGGCCUUACCUGACGCUGAGACGCGAAAGCGUGGGGAGCGAACCGG